rnacentral:rRNA from 1 species
GGGGAUAGGGCGGCGGCUACACAUGCAAGUCGAGCGGUAGCACAGAGAGCUUGCUCUCGGGUGACGAGCGGCGGACGGGUGAGUAAUGUCUGGGAAACUGCCUGAUGGAGGGGGAUAACUACUGGAAACGGUAGCUAAUACCGCAUAACGUCGCAAGACCAAAGAGGGGGACCUUCGGGCCUCUUGCCAUCAGAUGUGCCCAGAUGGGAUUAGCUAGUAGGUGGGGUAAUGGCUCACCUAGGCGACGAUCCCUAGCUGGUCUGAGAGGAUGACCAGCCACACUGGAACUGAGACACGGUCCAGACUCCUACGGGAGGCAGCAGUGGGGAAUAUUGCACAAUGGGCGCAAGCCUGAUGCAGCCAUGCCGCGUGUAUGAAGAAGGCCUUCGGGUUGUAAAGUACUUUCAGCGAGGAGGAAGGCAUUGUGGUUAAUAACCUCAGUGAUUGACGUUACUCGCAGAAGAAGCACCGGCUAACUCUGUGCCAGCAGCCGCA